UCUUGGAAAUAAAAAGAAGAANCUACCAGAGUACUAUGAAUUCAAAAAUUUAAAACUCAAAGGGCUUGGCGGUGCUUUUAGACCUUUCAGGGGAACCUGUCUUGUAAUCGACAAUCCACGUUACACCCCACCUCUUUUUGCACACAGUUUGUAUACCGUCGUCGUCAGGUAACUUUUAAAAAUUUAAUAGUUAGCAGAAAAACUCCAUAACUUUAAACGUCAGAUCAAGGUGCAACCAAUAAAGGGGUUAAGAUGGGUUACAAUUAUGUAAUAAUAANNNGKAAAAUUAGUUGAAAUACUAUUUUAAAGGAGGACUUGAAAGUAAAAAUAUUUANAUAUAUAAAUUGAAUAAGGCUCUNAAGCGNGC
rnacentral:rRNA from 1 species